GGGGCUGGAGGAGUGGGAGGAGUAACGGGAGGGAGUCGGACAAUGGCAGGAGAUUACAGGGAAGCCGCAGGGCCUGAACCGACUCACUGACUCCCCAACCCGGGAUAUCGGCCCCAACGGUACGCGAUCAGGGGAACCAUGGAUCGGAUGAAGAAGAUCAAGCGCCAGCUGUCCAUGACCCUGCGGGGUGGGCGGGCCACAGAGAAGACAUCCAAUGAGCAUUCAGAGCCAAUAACGGGGGAGGAGAAUAGCAGCAGUGAUAAUGAGCCCAUCGUCAGAAAUGGGAGAAGCCUCUCGUCCCACAGCAUGCAAUCCUUCCUGCACCACUACACCGCCAGCUCCUUUCAAAAGCCGCCCAUCCCCCGGCCUCACAGCGCCGUGUGCCGCAGCCUGAGCUCUUACCUGAAUCGGACCAGCAGACUAGAGAUCGUCCACGAAGACUUGAAGAUGGGGUCGGAUGGAGAGAGCGACCAAGCGUCCGGCUCCUCGGAUGAGGUUCAGUCGCCGGUGCGAGUGCGAAUGCGGAACAACGCCGCGCGGAAGAUAUCAACGGAGGACAUCAACAAGCGCCUGUCCCUCCCCGCCGAUAUCCGCCUCCCCGAGGGGUACCUGGAGAAGCUGGCGCUUAGUAGCCCCCCCUUCGACAAACCCCUGAGCCGGCGGCUGCGGCGAGUCUCCCUGUCGGAAAUCGGCUUUGGGAAGCUGGAGACCUACAUCAAGCUGGACAAACUGGGAGAGGGCACCUACGCCACGGUGUACAAGGGGCGCAGCAAACUCACCGAGAACCUGGUGGCCCUGAAGGAGAUUCGGCUGGAACAUGAGGAGGGGGCACCAUGCACAGCUAUUCGGGAAGUUUCUCUUCUGAAGGACCUGAAACACGCCAACAUCGUCACCCUGCACGAUAUCAUACACACCGAGAGGACUUUGACGCUGGUCUUCGAGUAUUUGGAUAAAGAUCUCAAGCAGUAUUUGGACGACUGUGGAAACCUCAUCAACCUCCAUAAUGUAAAGCUCUUCCUCUACCAGCUCCUUCGGGGACUGUCUUAUUGCCACCGGCGUAAAGUUCUGCACAGGGACCUAAAGCCUCAGAACCUGUUGAUCAAUGAGAAAGGGGAGCUCAAGCUGGCGGAUUUUGGACUGGCUCGGGCAAAGUCCAUUCCCACCAAGACUUACUCUAAUGAAGUGGUGACCCUGUGGUACCGACCCCCGGACAUACUACUUGGAUCCACGGAAUACUCCACCCAGAUUGAUAUGUGGGGCGUAGGCUGCAUCUUCUAUGAGAUGGUCACAGGCCGACCCCUCUUCCCUGGAUCCACCGUGGAGGAACAACUACAUUUUAUAUUCAGAAUUCUAGGAACCCCUACUGAAGAAACCUGGCCUGGCAUUCUGUCCAAUGAAGAAUUCAAGUCGUAUAAUUACCCUCGGUAUUACCCGGAUCCCAUCCAGAAACACGCUGCAAGGCUGGACUCCGAUGGAGCCAAUCUCCUGACCAAACUACUGCAGCUGGAAGGGAGGAACCGGAUUUCAGCAGAGGAAGCAAUGAGGCACUUGUACUUCCAGGAACUGGGGGAGAGGAUCCACAAACUACCAGACAGUAAGUGCCCCCCCAGGGCAAACACAAAGUCUUCUACUUGCUGCUGCCCUGUAGAUAUUAUUGCCCCAUAUGGGUGUGUAUGGGGGGCAUUAAUGCAGAUUCCCUUCUUCCAGCCACGUCCAUCUUUGCACUAAAGGAGAUCAGCCUGGAGCCAGAGAUAAAGCACAGGCCGGUGCCCGAGCCAGUUCACGUGCAGUCGCGUCGGCUCAGCCUGGUCCUCGGGUGAAGUCCUUGGGCUUUGGGCGCCAUUUAGAAGACUAUGAUCCAGAUGGCUGGAAGAAGAAGAAGAAGCGACGCCGGGCAGAGCCUCACCCGCUCUCUGUGCCCACAGCCGGGGGCAAGUGAAUGAGGAUAUUAGGCCGUGCCAGCAUGUGGCAUCUACAGUUCCCAUAUUAUCUCCCCCAAUGUUACCCACAGUGCUGCUGUCCCCACCCAGGGACUCCUGCCACACCCCCUGCUCCGCCUCCUUUCCCAGCUCUCCCUCGUGAGCUCCUCCUCUACUCUUGCAUCGAGGCCCAAGAGACGGCGUCAUUAAUGGCCCCGCCCUGAUCAGAGGAACACCAAGAACCCAAACCAUCUCAUUGGCUGGCAGACGGUUGGCAGCUUUCGGGUAAUGGCGGCAGCAACGGGGCGAAGGAUGGGUCAUUCUCUGCCGCUGGACGACGUGGGGCAUCUCCAAGCAAGUUCCUUUAUUUCUCAGGACUAAAGAAGCCGGACUGGACCGGCGGCAGAGCUCAGUAUUUUAGGCAGGUGUGGGUUAGUUACCCUUAGAUACAGUAUGGAGUCAGCCGGUGGGCGGGGGCAUUGGGGCACAUACACGUGUGCAAGAACGACCAAUGGGUCUCUGAGAAGAACGAUGCUGAGUGAGGGGGUGGGGUGACCGCAGUUACUCCGGCCCACGGGGGCCGCCCUUCUUCCCCAAUAAGUUAUAAUACGGUUACUAUUAUCACCCAGGGGAGGAGCCAAGAGGUCCAACCAUCCUCCUCCUGCUGCUGCAUAUCAACUGUAUGAACAAAUAAUAAAACUCCAAAAGCCAUA